rnacentral:rRNA from 1 species
CCAUUGCUAUCAGGGUUUGACUAAGCCAUGCGAGUCGAGAGGUGUAAGACCUCGGCAUACUGCUCAGUAACACGUGGUUAACCUGCCCUAAGGUGGAGAAUACUCCCGGGAAACUGGGGCUAAUGCUCCAUAGUGGAUAUGUCCUGGAAUGGUAUAUCCUCGAAAGAUCCGUCGCCUUAGGAUGGGACUGCGUCCGAUUAGGUUGUUGGCGGGGUAACGGCCCACCAAGCCUUUUAUCGGUACGGGUUGUGGGAGCAAGAUCCCGGAGAUGGAUUCUGAGACAUGAAUCCAGGCCCUACGGGGCGCAGCAGGCGCGCAAACUUUACAAUGCGAGCAAUCGUGAUAAGGAAACCCUGAGUGCCUGUCGAUGCAGGCUGUUCAUAUAUCUAAAUCAUAUGUGAAGAAAGGGCAGGGCAAGACCGGUGCCAGCCGCCGCGGUAAUACCGGCUGCUCGAGUGAUGGCCACUAUUACUGGGUUUAAAGCGUCCGUAGCUUGACUGUUAGGUCUCUUGGGAAAUCUUCGCGCUCAACGUGAAGGCGUCUAAGAGAUACCGGCAGUCUUGGAACUGGGAGAGGUAAACCGUACUUCGGGGGUAGGAGUGAAAUCUUGUAAUCCUCGAGGGACGACCUAUGGCGAAGGCAGUUUACCAGAACAGCUUCGACAGUGAGGGACGAAAGCUGGGGGAGCAAACGGGAUUAGAUACCCCGGUAGUCCCAGCCGUAAACAAUGUGCGUUAGGUGUGUCGGUAACCACGUGUUACUGAUGCGCCGA